UACGUAGGGACCAAGCGUUGUUCGGAAUUACUGGGCGUAAAGGGCGCGUAGGUGGCCUUCUAAGUUGAACGUGAAAUCCCUGGGCUCAACCCAGGAACUGCGUCCAAGACUGGGAGGCUUGAAUCCGGGAGAGGGAUGCGGAAUUCCAGGUGUAGCGGUGAAAUGCGUAGAUAUCUGGAGGAACACCGGUGGCGAAGGCGGCAUCCUGGACCGGUACUGACGCUGAGACGCGAAAGCGUGGGGAGCGAACAGG
rnacentral:rRNA from 1 species